rnacentral:rRNA from 1 species
GAUGAACGCUAGCGGCAGGCUUAAUACAUGCAAGUCGUGGGGCAGCAUGAGUAGCAAUACUUGAUGGCGACCGGCAAACGGGUGCGGAACACGUACACAACCUUCCGAUAAGUGGGGAAUUGCCCAGAGAAAUUUGGAUUAAUACCCCGUAACAUAUAGAGUAGGCAUCUUCUUUAUAUUAUAGCUUCGGCGCUUAUUGAUGGGUGUGCGUCUGAUUAGGUAGUUGGCGAGGUAACGGCCCACCAAGCCUACGAUCAGUAGCUGAUGUGAGAGCAUGGUCAGCCACACGGGAACUGAGACACGGGCCCGACUCCUACGGGAGGCAGCAGUAAGGAAUAUUGGACAAUGGGCGAAAGCCUGAUCCAGCCAUGCCGCGUGAAGGAUUAAGGUCCUCUGGAUUGUAAACUUCUUUUAUUUGGGACGAAAAAGGGAAUUCUUUCCCACUUGACGGUACCAAGUGAAUAAGCACCGGCUAACUCCGUGCCAGCAGCCGCGGUAA